UUUAUGGAUUCCUUCCCACGUAGGUAUUAAAGAAGAUAUCAGAUGUAUGGAGCAACUAGGGAAUUUUCACAUUACUAUUAUUUAAUUAAUUCCGGAGUAUGAUUUCGGCACAGUUGUGCCAUUCUACAUCCAAAUAGGCGGGAACCAAAUCCACUACAAAUUAUAGCCAAACAUGUACGCUACUGUUAUUCACCGACUUGAUUUCAACCUAUUGCUAUUGUUUGUAAUUUGGUAUGAAUAAAAUCUUCGCGUUGAAAAUGAAAUCCCUUCACGGAACCCAGUUUUUUAUUAAGGUAUAUUCCGCCGUCAAUGUUUAAUUUGAGAUGAAUGUUUUUUCUUAAGUUUCUGUAUUUUUAUGUUUCUUUAGAUACAACAGAAACGUAUUCGCUAAAAGACAUUGGCUAUAAAUUGAGAUGAAAAAUUAGAUUACCAGAAUAGA